rnacentral:rRNA from 1 species
UACGGAGGGGGCUAGCGUUGUUCGGAAUUACUGGGCGUAAAGCGCACGUAGGCGGAUUGCUAAGUCAGGGGUGAAAUCCUGGAGCUCAACUCCAGAACUGCCUUUGAUACUGGCGACCUUGAGUCCGGGAGAGGUGAGUGGAACUGCGAGUGUAGAGGUGAAAUUCGUAGAUAUUCGCAAGAACACCAGUGGCGAAGGCGGCUCACUGGCCCGGUACUGACGCUGAGGUGCGAAAGCGUGGGGAGCAAACAGG